UUUGUUUACAACUCAAUUUCCUGCGACGCGAAUUUAUUGGACUUUACUCAUCGAAAAUGUUAAAUUUAAAACACUUGGCCAGCCACGCCUACCGACAGUACGAACUGGUGACAUGCGUGAACAUGCUUGAGCCCUGGGAAAAGAAGCUGAUCAAUGGAUUCUUCCUGGUGAUGCUCUUCCUGGUGCUCUUCUCCAGCUUCAUGUAUCUCCCCAACUACAUGCAAACCCUAAUGCAGUUCGUAACGCCGCCCAAUUGGCACAAUUCCCCGGAUAGCGCAGCCUAUGUGGCCCAAAAGAUGACACGGAGCUGAGCUCCUACUACCCACUUCGUACAAGUGCAUCCGGUACACGCAUACUCCCUAUAGAAAGACAACUAGGAUUUAAGGCUUAUGAUAUUAUUGUGAUUUACGUCGACUGGUCCAAGAUCUACAGAUAACAAUGGUCUCCACCAUUCGCAGGGCGGAUGUGUUGAAGAACAGGCCAACCAGUCCUCCAAGGGAAACUGAAACGGCAAAAGGCAAAUUAAAAACUAAUAUAGAUUAACAUGGAUAGAGUAGCUUACUCAAGAAGUCCAGUAUAGUCUUGGUUACGCGACGAACAUAUCGUUGUGUUGGCAGUUCAACCAAGGCCACGCGGAUCUCGGACACUUCAUCUGAUGCUUCAUCAUCCCUUGAAGUUAGAAGAUACAUUUUUAAGUAACUAUUUACUUUUUUGACUUAUCAAUGUUAAACUGUGGUAAUGAAACAUCCUAAUGUGCUUACUCAUCA